rnacentral:rRNA from 1 species
UGAAGGAAUUACCGGUGGCGAAGGCGGCCCCCUGGACAGAUACUGGCAAUCAGAUGCGAAAGCGUGGGGAGCAACCAGGAUUAGAUACCCUGGUAGUCCACGCCGUAAACGAUGUCUACUUGGAGGUUGUGGCCUUGAGCCGUGGCUUUCGGAGCUAACGCGUUAAGUAGACCGCCUGGGGAGUACGGUCGCAAGAUUAAAACUCAAAUGAAUUGACGGGGGCCCGCACAAGCGGUGGAGCAUGUGGUUUAAUUCGAUGCAACGCGAAGAACCUUACCUACUCUUGACAUCUACAGAAGCCAGCGGAGACGCAGGUGUGCCUUCGGGAACUGUAAGACAGGUGCUGCAUGGCUGUCGUCAGCUCGUGUUGUGAAAUGUUGGGUUAAGUCCCGCAACGAGCGCAACCCUUAUCCUUGUUUGCCAGCACUUCGGGUGGGAACUCCAGGGAGACUGCCGGUGAUAAACCGGAGGAAGGUGGGGACGACGUCAAGUCAUCAUGGCCCUUACGAGUAGGGCUACACACGUGCUACAAUGGCGCAUACAGAGGGCGGCCAACUUGCGAAAGUGAGCGAAUCCCAAAAAGUGCGUCGUAGUCCGGAUUGGAGUCUGCAACUCGACUCCAUGAAGUCGGAAUCGCUAGUAAUCGUGGAUCAGAAUGCCACGGUGAAUACGUUCCCGGGCCUUGUACACACCGCCCGCCACACCAUGGGAGUGGGCUGCAAAAGAAGUGGGUAGUUUAACCUUCGGGAGGACGCUCACCACUUUGUGGUUCAUGACUGGGGGGAAGUCGUAACAAGGUAACCG